GGGUAGCGAGAGGCGUCGGGAUCGCGGGCGCCGGCUGAGCCAGCGGCUGCUGGGAGGCUGUGUGCGCACGCCUGCGGGGCGAGGAGGCCGGGCCCUGCGCCUCAGGCCUGAGAACUGGGAGGAAGCUGGAGAAAAGAUGCCCUCUGAAUAUUUGUGUUUGGCUGCCCAGGCUCGCCUUGACUCCAAAUGGUUGAAAACAGAUAUACAGAUGGAGUCUUGCUCUGUUGCCCAGGCUAGAGUGCAGUGGUGCCAUCUCGGCUUACCGCAAGCUCCGCCUCCCGGGUUCACGCCAUUGUCCUGCCUCAGCGUCCCGAGUACCUGGAACUAUAGGUGUCCACCAUCAUACCUGGCCAAUUUUUUGUAUUUUCAGUAGAGACGGGGUUUCACUGUGUCAGCCAAGAUGGUCUCCAUCUUCUGACCUCGUGAUCCACCGGCCUUGGCCUCUUAGAGUGCUGGGAUUACAGGCAUAAGCCACCACUCCCGGCCGAUAUAUUGGUUUGUUUAUGAAAAUUAUACUGGAUCUGUUACAGAUGAUAGUGUCAAACCAAGUGGAACAAAGAAAGAAGAUCUGGAUGACAAAGAGAAAAAAGAUGAAACUCCUGCACCUGUAUAUAGGGCCAAGUCAAUUCUGGAGAGCUGGGUAUGGGAGUAAGCAACCAGGGAUGUUCACAGAACGCCAGGCACCAAAAGGCCAGAAGCAUGCCCCUGCAGGACCAGCACUUGGCUCUGGCCAUCCUGCUGGAGCUGGCUGUGCAGAGAGGCACGCUGAGCCAAAUGUUGUCUGCCAUCCUGUUGUUGCUUCAGCUGUGGGACAGCAGGGCACAGGAAACUGACAAUGAGCGUUCUGCCCAGGGCACCAGCACCUUGCUUUUGCCCUUGCUGCAAACGUUCCAGAGCAUCAUUUGUGGUAAGGAUACGCCCCCCUCCGAGGGCAACAUGCACCUUUUGUCUGGCCCUCUGAGCCCCAGUGAGUUUCCUGAGGUACCUCACCCUCCACAAGACAACGAGCUUGCCAUUGAUCUGCAACAAACGGCGGUUGUUGUCAUGGCCCAUUUAGAAGAUCUGGCUACACCCUGUAGAUGCCUCUGCCGUGUAGCUGUCCGACGUCUCAUAAGAGAGUCAUUUUUUUACAGGUCAGAACUGUAGAAAUAAUGAGGAAGUGACACUUAUAUGCAAAGCUGAUUUGGAGAACCAUAAUAAAGAUGGAGGCUUCU
rnacentral:lncRNA from 1 species